GAAUUUAAGCCCCAGUAAACGGCGGUGGUAACUAUAACCAUCCUAAGGUAGCGAAAUUCCUUGUCGGGUAAGUUCCGACCUGCACGAAUGGCGUAACGACUUCUCCGCUGUCUCGACCGUGAACUCGGCGAAAUUGCAGUACGAGUAAAGAUGCUCGUUUCGCGCAGAAGGACGGAAAGACCCCGGGACCUUUACUAUAGCUUGGUAUUGGUGUUCGCUUGGACUUGUGUAGGAUAGGUGGGAGACUGUGAAGCUGCCGCGCCAGCGGUGGUGGAGUCGUCGUUGAAAUACCAUUCUGGUUCAAGCGGUCACCUCAACCUUGGCCCGUGAUCCGGGUUGGGGACAGUGCCUGGUGGGUAGUUUAACUGGGGCGGUUGCCUCCUAAAAUGUAACGGAGGCGCUCAAAGGUUCCCUCAGCCUGGUUGGUAAUCAGGUGGCGAGUGCAAGUGUACAAGGGAGCUUGACUGUGAGACCGACGGGUCGAGCAGGUGCGAAAGCAGGAACUAGUGAUCCGGCCAUGGCACGUGGGUGCGUGGUCGCUCAACGGAUAAAAGGUACCCCGGGGAUAACAGGCUGAUCUUGCCCAAGAGUCCAUAUCGACGGCAUGGUUUGGCACCUCGAUGUCGGCUCGUCGCAUCCUGGGGCUGGAGUCGGUCCCAAGGGUUGGGCUGUUCGCCCAUUAAAGCGGUACGCGAGCUGGGUUCAGAACGUCGUGAGACAGUUCGGUCCCUAUCCUCUGUGCGCGCAGGAAAUUUGAGAAGGGCCGUCCCUAGUACGAGAGGACCGGGAUGGACGAACCUCUGGUGUGCCAGUUGUACCGCCAGGUGCAUGGCUGGUUAGCUACGUUCGGAAGGGAUAACCGCUGAAAGCAUCUAAGCGGGAAGCCUGCUUCAAGAUGAGGUUUCCACGCCCCCUCGUGGGGUGAGAGGCCCCCGCCAGACUAGCGGGUUGAUAGGCCAGAGGUGGAAGCACAGCAAUGUGCUCGUGAGCCGACUGGUACUAAUGGGCCAACACUAAACAAC
rnacentral:rRNA from 1 species